CCUACGGGAGACAGCAGUGGGGAAUAGUGCACAAUGGAGGGAACUCUGAUGCAGCGACGCCUCGUGAGUGAAGAAGUAAUUCGUGAGGUAAAGCUCUAUCAGCAGGGAAGAAAGUGACGGUACCUGAAAAAGAAGCUCCGGCUAAAGACGUGCCAGCAGCCGCGGUAAUACGGAUGGAGCAAGCGUUAUCCGGAUUUACUGGGUGUAAAGGGAGAGUAGGUGGCAGAGCAAGUCCGAAGUGAAAACCCAAAGCUCAACUAUGGGAAUGCUUUAGAAACUGCUCAGCUAGAGUGCAGGAGAGGCAAGUGGAAUUCUUAGUGUAGCUGUGAACUGCGUAGAUAUUAGGAGGACCACCAGUGGCGAAGGCGGCUUGCUGGACUGUACCUGACACUGCGGCUCGAACGCGUGGGGAGCAAACAGGCUUAGAUACCCUUGUAGUC
rnacentral:rRNA from 1 species